AUAUGGAUGAGCGAAACAAUGACAAAGGUAAUGACAGUGACAUAACAGUAUUUUUCCUACAAGUUAGGAUAUUUGAAGUAACUCAAUUUGUUUUUCUACCUAAAGAAGAGCGAGAUAUAGCUCAUUGAUAUAUACUUACCAAUUAUGAAGAGAUUGAGCCUUAUUUUGAGUAAGUUCUUACUACCUAAAUUUUAUUAUUAAAUAUUCAAUAUAGAAAUAUGA
rnacentral:lncRNA from 1 species